CAUAAUCUCUGAGGAGAAAAGCAGGGGAUCGCAAGACCUUGCGCUUUUGGAGCGGCCGAUGUCUGAUUAGCUAGUCGGUGAGGUAAAGGCUUACCAAGGCUUCGAUCAGUAGCUGGUCUGAGAGGACGACCAGCCACACUGGGACUGAGACACGGCCCAGACUCCUACGGGAGGCAGCAGUGGGGAAUUUUGGACAAUGGGGGCAACCCUGAUGCAGCCAUGCCGCGUGAGUGAAGAAGGCCUUCGGGUUGUAAAGCUCUUUCAGCCGGAACGAAACGGUCACGGUUAAUAACUGUGAUCACUGACGGUACCGGAAGAAGAAG
rnacentral:rRNA from 1 species